CUCGUUUGAAUCCUGCGUCCGCUCUUUUGCUAGACAAAAGACAACUUUAGACUCAGGGUCAACGACACCAGGAUCCGAUCCGAGAUCAAUGCUGUGUUUGGUUCUCUUGUCUCCCUUCAUCUGGACCGGCUCCUCGGUCUCUUUGUCCUUCGUCACCUUGACAUUUUUGAAGGGUACAGGCCAGUUCUUUACUAUGAAAGGGCGGGCCUACGCGGCCUGCUCCAUCUUGUUCUGUGUCCUUCACCUAGACCUUUGACACCUAGACCUCCUCCCUUUGAGUGACCUCCCGCUCACCCAUUCAAGCUUCCUGAUCAAAACACGCCCCUUCCCCAGCCAAUCGGCCGAGGCCACGCCCCUUCCCCAACCAAUCGGCUGCCCCUAGACCCCUAUAAAACCUUUGUGCUUUUGAAACUCGCUCUCUCUCCCUGGUAUCUCACCGCUGCGUCGGUGCAGGUAGGGGACUGAGCUCGAGCUAGCGCGAAUAAAGGCUCUUUGCUUUUGCAUCGGACUCGGCUCCCUGGUGGUCUUUGGGGAUCACGGAUUCUGGGCACAACAACUAGACUCUGUGAACUUCUAAUGUGAUUCCUCUUUGAUAGCUUCCUGGCUUUCUGGCAUGACAAGAUGCCCCGAAUCCGUCUGUACAUUUCCUGCUCUGGAGCCUAAUGGGCCGCUUGUCCAGACAUCCCCGGUCUCUUUCCGUGGAAAAUGGGAUUUAGAGACGGGACUGAAUUCCGGUGCCCUGGCUGGUGGCGGAGGCCAGAUCUUCGAAGAUCUCCUUGUUUUUUCUUAUCUAACAUUAUUGAUUUACUGUAAUCACCGGAAAUGCAAACAGAAACCGAGGCCUCUGGGUGGCGCAGUCGGUUAAGCGUCCGACUUCAGCCAGGUCACGAUCUCGCGGUCCGUGAGUUCGAGCCCCGCGUCAGGCUCUGGGCUGAUGGCUCGGAGCCUGGAGCCUGUUUCCGAUUCCGUGUCUCCCUCUCUCUCUGCCCCUCCCCCGUUCAUGCUCUGUCUCUCUCUGUCCCAAAAAUAAAUAAACGUUAAACACAGCUGAUGUGAUUCA
rnacentral:lncRNA from 1 species